AGUGAACGCUGGCGGUAGGCCUAACACAUGCAAGUCGAACGGCAGCACAGUAAGAGCUUGCUCUUACGGGUGGCGAGUGGCGGACGGGUGAGGAAUACAUCGGAAUCUACUUUUUCGUGGGGGAUAACGUAGGGAAACUUACGCUAAUACCGCAUACGACCUACGGGUGACAGCAGGGGAUCUUCGGACCUUGCGCGAUUGAAUGAGCCGAUGUCGGAUUAGCUAGUUGGCGGGGUAAAGGCCCACCAAGGCGACGAUCCGUAGCUGGUCUGAGAGGAUGAUCAGCCACACUGGGACUGAGACACGGUCCAGACUCCUACGGGAGGCAGCAGUGGGGAAUAUUGGACAAUGGGCGCAAGCCUGAUCCAGCCAUACCGCGUGGGUGAAGAAGGCCUUCGGGUUGUAAAGCCCUUUUGUUGGGAAAGAAAAGCAGCAGGUUAAUACCCCGCUGUUCUGACGGUACCCAAAGAAUAAGCACCGGCUAACUUCGUG
rnacentral:rRNA from 1 species